UACGUAGGGUGCGAGCGUUGUUCGGAAUCACUGGGCGUAAAGGGCGUGUAGGCGGUUCGGUAAGUGGAAUGUGAAAUCCCUCGGCUCACCCGAGGACCUGCAUCCCAAACUGCCGAGCUUGAGUAUGGGAGAGGAUGAGGGAAUUCCUGGUGUAGCGGUGAAAUGCGUAGAUAUCGGGAGGAACACCAGUGGCGAAGGCGACUACCUGGCCUGUUUCUUGACGCUGAGGCGCGAAAGCUAGGGGAGCAAACGGG
rnacentral:rRNA from 1 species